rnacentral:rRNA from 1 species
UACGUAGGUGGCAAGCGUUGUCCGGAUUUACUGGGCGUAAAGAGCGCGCAGGCGGUCGUUCAAGUCGCGUGUGAAAGCCCCCGGCUCAACUGGGGAGGGUCACGCGAUACUGAUCGACUCGGAGGCAGGAGAGGGUAGUGGAAUUCCCGGUGUAGUGGUGAAAUGCGUAGAUAUCGGGAGGAACACCAGUGGCGAAGGCGACUACCUGGCCUGUUCUUGACGCUGAGGCGCGAAAGCUAGGGGAGCAAACGGG